GCCGAAGUGGUGAAAUUGGUAGACACGCUGUCUUGAGGGGGCAGUGCCUUACGGCGUCGGGGUUCGAAUCCCCGCUUCGGCACCA
rnacentral:tRNA from 2 species